CCUCGCUGAAGGGAGAAAAGACAUUCAUUGUAUUCCCUCAUGUAAGUAUCACUGAAGUGACCAGCUUUAAAAAGCAAAUAUGUAUAUGUGGAAAAACUGAAGGGAAUGAGGAGUGUAAAGCUGUAUGCCAAAAUAUUUGUAUACAUUGUUAGCAACUACUAACAGUGCUUUCUAUCCUGUUAAUAUCCUUUCAGCAGCCUCAAAAUAAUUAUUUCACAUUUUGACCCUUAAAGUAUUCAUUCUGUACAAAUCCCCCUCUCAGUAUGCUACCAGAGUCCUAUUCUCCCCUGCCCACCCUUAGUCUACAAGGCCUAGUAAAACAUUGUAAUUGAAUUCAUUAGUUUGAUUUUGUCCUUCCUUUCUGGAUGGUUGCUCUUUGCUCUUCUUUUCACAGAGUAAAGCUUCUUUCUUGGCCACUGGGUCUAGGUCUAUUUUAAUUAUUUUAAAAUCUCUGUAAAGCAUCCAGCUGCAGUGAGGAGCAUUAUACAAGCCAGUGAUACUCAGACAUCAGUGCUUGAGGGGCCAAAUCAGCAUUACCCAAAAGAGCCACAGUAGGAUGAAUUCAUUUACUAUAGUACUAUAUAGUUAUAUUUAAACAGUAUGAAGGGAAAUAUUUGGUUUUUAUAUACAUAUAUAUUCUCAGAGCAAAAUGACUUAUUUCAUCAACUACAAUUGGUUAACAUCAUAAAAGCAUCCCGAUUGGUUGUCAAUUAAAUCGCACCAUUUUAAUAUCAUGUGCUGCAAAGAGCCACAAGAGACACAUUAAAAAACCUCUUGCAGCUCACAAGCCUCAGUGAGUAUCUCUGAUACAAGCAAAUAAACCCUAGUAUAACUCUUCACCAUCAAGUGCACAGCACAUUAACUCCCCACACCUCUGUAAGGCAAAUAUAAUGAUUUUACAAAUGGGGAAUCUGAGGCAUACUGGUUAAGUGCCUAAGAUCACAUAAAUCAGUGAUCAGUCAGUGUAGAAACCAGACAAAAUGGAUGGUUUUCAUUCAAGAUUUAAAUGACUUUAAACAUGAUUUAAAGUCAAUAGUAAAAAAUACUUCAUUAGAAUUAAACUAAAUUUGUGUAAAAAAUUAAAGAUGCACUCUGUCAUUAGUAAUAGAGCCCAAACAUUUUGGUAAUCCCCUUGAUCUCUUCAAAUGAAAGGUAGCCUAUCAGAAAAGUUGGACAACACAUAUAUGCCUUAUUCAAGUAAUGACUGGGCUUAGUCAAUUAAAUUCCUUCAGUCUUUAGUUUUUACAGUAAAAAUGGGGAAAUAUUACAUUUCUAACUAGAGAAACCAGGUGGGUGAGGUUAAUAUCUUAAUUGGACUUUUGUCUAAUAAGAAGAGCUCUGUAUAAGCUCGAAAGCUUGUCUCCCUCACAAACAGAAGUUGGUCCAACAACAGAUAUUACCUCACCCACCUUGUUUCUCUAGUAUUCUGGUACUGACACAGCUACCAGAACGCUGCACAUCUCUAGCUAGACAUUCAUCAAAACACAACAUAGGUAAACCAUAUUGAUAAAGCUAAACAUUAAAGUCAAGGAGUUUAGGGAUUUUCUUCAGCUUUUUCUUUAAACUUGGAUUUUUAAUAUUCAACAAUAUGUGCAUUGUCAUUUGAAAGUUAUAAAUAUUUUCAAUGCUUUCUUAUUCCAUGAAGAACCCUAAUACUCUCUCUAGGGAGUCACAUAGCUAUCAGUAUUACACUGUGUGUCGUAAUUAUUGGCUGGUGGAAAAAUGCAAUACCUUCACUGCUUGGAUUUAAUGUAGCGUGUUUUGUUAAGCCAUGCAUUCAUACUAAUGGAAAAUCAGAGGGUAGCACUGGGAACAUUGUUCAGGUAUCAUGCUCUGCCCAGAUUGCAUAUGGAGUGAGUAUAUCUUGCUUCACUCUACAGGAUCCCCUUUGGCUAGUGCAGAAGCACUGACAAGCUCCAGGAGGAGGUCUCUGAGCAUGGAAACCUGUGAGGGUCUAUCAUGAUUGAUUUGGGAUGGAUGAGGGAAAUUACUGAGAAGUCCGAUCACUCUGCUCCACCCCAUCAGACAUUUCUCAGAGGCAUUAGUGCACACCUACAAUUCUGUGCCUGUAACAUUCCAUUUUUAAAAUGAGGGCUUUGUUUUAACAAGAAUAGGUGAAACCACAGAAGUUUCUAAAGCCUGCACCCCAUUUGGACGAUGGCACAUACACCAAAAAUGCCAUCAGUUAUUUGGAAAGAAGCGUCUGGGCUGCCAGCUUGCUUGUAGGUCAAGAUAUAGCAAAUGCCAGUAAACACUCGACUGGAGUGGUCAAUUGAUCCUGAAGUACAAGCUGAUUAAUGAGCAGUUACAAGUUAGUUACACAAACCUUUUUGCCCCUGUGCACACCAUUUUUCCAGAGCUGAAUAUAAGUGCAGUAGUACGUGGUUCUCUUAUUCUCAUGAUGACAGCAGCAAAACGCUGAAAUGCAUAACUUGAAGCUGUUAGUGAUAUUAUUGCUGGAAGAAUUCUAUACAAAUAAAUGCAUUACCAAAUUUUAAACAGUAUUAACCAACUUAAUACUAUACUUUCCACUUACACAGCCUUCUUAAUUCUGAAAGCACUGUCAACUUGAGAUCUAAACCAUUGUAAAAAAUGAAUGAAAAGUAGCUUUAAAUACUAUGCCUGACUCCUGCUUUUACAAUCAGUUUCCUUUUUUAUUAAAAUGUUUCUCUUACUAUGUGAAAGACCGAUAGACCAGAAGAAAUCUUACUAUAAAAAAGGAACAAAUUAUUCUAUACAGUAUGUUGUUAAAUGCACCAAAUUAUUUGAAAAAAGGAACAGACUCUCUGCAAUCUUUCAGUUAUAUUAACAUUGCUUGUAACAAUCGAUUUCCAGACAGAAGUUUGAUUUUUGUCCCUUUAAGCCUCAACACCCUUGUAAGGUACAAAACUCUGACAUCAUUUUACUGAUGAGAAAAUGAAACAGGGAAAUUGAAGGAUUGUCCAACCUCAGAAUGUUGGUCAUGUUAUGGGUAGAAACAAGAAGCCAAAUUCUUGUCAAUGAAAGGCAGCUGAAUUACUUCAAACACACACCAGUAGCAUCAUUACUCAUAGUUCCAGGCUCUAAUCUCCAUGUGUAGAAAUUUAAGCCCACAUUUGAGUGAACUAUGGUUUUAAAUUGUGUUUGAAUAUUGGCAGGAGUAAUAGGCCCAAAGCAUGUGACCAAAAAGAAUGAACUCAUGAGAAGGAUUGUGUGUGUUAAACUUGUAUUGACCCUUUGCAAAUUACCAGCAUUAUCUUAUUUAACAUUUGGGAAAUAAAGAAAACAUGCACCAGGUGCAGUAAAUAAUUGGUUAGAAAUGCUUAGUCCAGUAGUUGGAAAAAAAAUAUGGGAAGUGAGAUAAAGGAAAUAACCCUGAGUAAAGCAAAGUGCAGCCCUCAACUGCUUCAGCUAAGGCCCAAUAACCAACCAUGAUGUCACUUGUUAGUUAUAAUGUAUAAAAAAAGCAAGGCUUUCUAGGUGUUUUGUCAGAGCUUUUCCCUAGCCCUCUGGAACCAUGCCAUGAAGGGAAGGGGUCUCCCAGGCGUGAUCUGAUUGUGAGUAUAUUAGACAAUACUUAUAACUGUAUCGUGGUAGGGUAUAGAAUAUAGAUGUGUAGAUAUGCUUACAUUUGUAUUUUGGUUGUAACUAGCACCAUGUGGCCUUUUGACUAAUAAAGGAAUGCUUGUGUGGAAAAUGACUUGUGGUAAGCCUUAAUAAAAUUAGGAAAAUUAUUUCCAACACUGCUGCUUAAUUAUUAUUUAUGCCGGGUACCACAACACUAAUUUAACCAUAAAUUCCUUUAUUAAGUCCAAAGGCCAAAUGGUAUUUAUACAAUUGUUCUAAACAUGCCUAAAUAUCAAGCAAUUUACUUCCUCCAAGCAAUAACAAAACGUGAUCAAGAUACUUACAAAUAGACUAAACCAAGGGGUGCUUAGAUCCAUAUUGGUCAGCUCAAACUUGAUCAGGCAGGAAUUAACAUAUGAACCCCUUUAAGAGUUUACUUUUUUAUACCCUUAAACAAACAAGUGAUGUCACUGCCAAUGAUCAGACCUUAGCUAAGGCUAAAUGAAGCAGUUUUAUAUAGCCAAUUUACUGCACCUGGCACCCAAUUAACCAUGUUUUAUUUCUAUUACAGUACUUCAACCCAAACCUUAAAUAAGAUAACACCCUUAUUUUGAAGGGUCACUACAAGUUUAACACAAGGACUCUUCUUUCCCAUGAGCUCAUUCUUUUUGGUUACAUGCCUUGGGGCCUGUUGCUCAUGCUAAUAUCCCAACUCAAUUUAAAACCAUCAUUCACCCAAUCUAAUGUGGAGCUAUUAUCCUACAACCACACUACACUUCCUUGUCAAUGCAGAUGAAUGGCUUGAAAGCUAGAGAUACUAUAAAUUCCUUAAAGGUUUUUAGAUUAGAUUAAAGGCUGAUAAACAUUGUUUUGAUGAUAAUUCAGAGUGUAUAACGAAUCCCUCAUCUUGAUUAUCCAAGUUCAAACUUUACAUAGCCUACUUAUCUUAAACGACAAGCAUCAUGCUGUUGCCCAAAACUACUCUUGCUGAAGUCACAUCCCACUUCACAUGUGGUUGUGUAACUAAUGUUUUGCCUUUAUGGAAAUAAACUAUAGUACAACUAUGGCUACCAUCUCAAAUUUACAUAAGUGUGCGCUUUUAUUGUUCUAUGACUAGAGUUUAAACUAGCACUUUCCUUGUCCAGGGCCUUAAAAAAAAAAAACUCCACACACCCACUACUAAGUAGGAACUUUUCCCCAAGGCAAGAGACAUCAAUUCCGCAACAUUAAAGCUUUCAUUUGAAAAAAAAAAUUAGUUGCAAAGAACAUUCCUAACAAGAAAGGAUUACAAAAGCUGAAGCAAUGACAUUUUCCUGAUCCAGUUAAAGGACAACUCCAGGUCCUCUACUUGCUGUUCAGAGCUUCUCAAGCUGCAGAAAAGAGAAAGUAAACUACAGCCAUCAAUUUUUACUGCUGAUAAUUAGAAUCUUGUGGACAAGAACAAAAUGGACUAAAAAAAAAUUAUCAGGGUACUGUCAGUUUUGCCCAAAAACGGAGGUUGGAGGGGAGGUGAAGUGACAGAGACCAUCCCACUCCAUGCUGAGGGAGGGGCUGACCCCUGCACAUCCGUAAGUUUCUGAGGUGGCAAUGAAGCACAGAAAAAGCAUUGCUUCUUCUCCAGCAGAUAGAUGGAACAGAGGGAUUGAAGUACAGAUAUGUAUUCUCCAUGGAAUGACAUGAAAGAUGGAACUCUUGAUCAUUGUCCAGGAACAGCAAUCCCCGCUUUUCAGCAGCUUGAAGCAUGGAGGGAAAGAGUUUCCACCACACCAUUAUAGAAACCUUCUUACCGAAGUGUGUAUAUAACUUGAGUAAUCUGGUCUUUUACAGUCACUCUUGUCCCAUCAGCCUCCCUCCCUCUUGAUGUUUGUUAAAAAUCACUCACAUAUCCCAUCUUUAAUUAGAUUGUAUAUCCUUCAGAUAUGCAUACAUUAGGAAAGAAGGAGUGUAUAUACACACACCAACUCCCUAGUAUAAACAGGGAAAUUUGUAUUUUAACCAGAGUUAUUUGGUGGAGGGUAAACAAUAGGAAAGCCCCUAUGAUUGCCCUCUACCAGCUAACAUGUUAGAAUACUAAUUACCCUGUUAACACAUGUUAAAAGAGCUAACAAUGUUAGGAACCAUUAGGAAAGAUAGAAAUCACCAUCAAUAUAUCCAUGCUAUGCCCACACUUUGAAUACUGGUUGCAGUUUUGGUUGCCCCAAAAAAGAUACUGAAAUUGGAAAAGGGAAAAAAAAUGAUUAGGAACAACUUCCAUAUGAAGAGAGAUUAAGACAACUGGGACAGUUCAGCUUAGAGAGAGGCUAUAAAAUCAUGAAUGGCAGGGAGGCAGUGAGCAAGGAAGUGUUAUUUACCCUUUCACAUUACACAAGAACAAGGGGUCACUCAAAGAAAUUAACGGGCACCAUGUUUAAAACUAACAUCAGGCAGUACUUCACACAACACACAGUCAAGCUAUGGAACUUCUUGCUAGGAAAUGCUGUGAAGGCCAAAACUAUAACUGGCUUCACAGAAGCACUAGACAAGUUCAGGGAGAAUAGCUCCAUCAAUAACUCUUAGUCAAGAUGGUCAGGGACGCAACCCCAUGCUCUGGAUGUCCCUAAGCCUCUGACUGCCAGAAGCUGGGACUGGAUGACAGAGAAUGGAUCACCUGAUAAUUGCCCUGUUCUGUUCAUUUCCUCUGAAGCAUCUGGCACUGGCCACUGGUUGGAAAACAAAAUACUGCGCUAGAUGGACCAUUGGUCUGACCUAGUAUGGCCAUUUUUGUGUAUUAGCUAAUACACAUUUUUAGACACUCUCCCUGCCUCACACUAGUGAAGACAAGGCCUUUGGAGCAGGGACCCUGUUGUAACAGAUACAGCAAUUUCCUGAAACAUCCUUGAUUGACCUUAUUGUAUUAAGUUUAUGCAUUACUGUGGGCUGGGAUGAUAGGUAACCUCUCUAGGGAAAAGACGUGACAGAUGUGAGAACAGGGUGUUCAAAACACUAUUGAAAAUAUGCCAGACAAGUAUGGACAUUUGGGACAAUUAGCAUUAAAUGGAUUUCCUAGGGAAUCCCUACAGAGAGGUUAAUGCAAAUUCCCCAGUGCCAGUUAUUCAAAAACCCAGCCUUCUGAAAAGGCAUGAGGAAUGGGUCCAUUGUCUGCUGAUCACUUGUUGCAAAAGGCCAGUAUCAAAGGCCUGAUCUGUAUAAGGAACAGCUGAUCUGCCCAGUCUGCUUUCUGGCUCAGGAUCUAAGACAAAUGAACUUGUGACCAUGGGGAAAACCCAGUUGUGGGUUUUGAAGGACAAAAACAUACUAGAGCCCUAAGUUAGAGAUGGGAGUAACCUCUGGUAAGCUUUUUAGCAUGUAUUUUAGUUCUCUUAUUGUUAUAAUACAUUUUCUCUGUAAAUGCUUUUUCCUUAAGAAUAAAUGUGCUAGCACAGUA